rnacentral:rRNA from 1 species
AUUGAACGCUGGCGGCAGGCCUAACACAUGCAAGUCGAACGAGUGGCGGACGUGAGUGUAAUGUCUGGGACACUGCCUGCUGGAGGGGGAUAACUAAUGGAACCGGUUGCUAAAACCGCAUACCAGCAUAUAGGCCCAGAUGGGAUUAUCUUGUGGGUGGGGUAACGGCUCACCAAGGCGACGAUCCCUACCUGGUCUGAGAGGAUGACCAGCCACACUGGAACUGAGACACGGUCCAGACUCCUACGGGAGGCAGCAGUGGGGAAUAUUGGACAAUGGGCGCAAGCCUGAUGCAGCCAUGCCGCGUGUAUGAAGAAGGCCUUCGGGUUGUAAAGCACUUUAAGCGGGGAGGCGUUACCCGCAGAAGAAGCACCGGCUAACUCCGUGCCAGCAGCCGCGGUAAUAC